rnacentral:rRNA from 1 species
GACGAACGCUGGCGGCGUGCUUAACACAUGCAAGUCGAACGGAAAGGCCCUGCUUUUGUGGGGUGCUCGAGUGGCGAACGGGUGAGUAACACGUGAGUAACCUGCCCUUGAUUUUGGGAUAACUUCAGGAAACUGGGGCUAAUACCGGAUAGGAGCUCCUGCUGCAUGGUGGGGGUUGGAAAGUUUCGGCGGUUGGGGAUGGACUCGCGGCUUAUCAGCUUGUUGGUGGGGUAGUGGCUUACCAAGGCUUUGACGGGUAGCCGGCCUGAGAGGGUGACCGGCCACAUUGGGACUGCGAUACGGCCCAGACUCCUACGGGAGGCAGCAGUGGGGAAUAUUGCACAAUGGGCGGAAGCCUGAUGCAGCAACGCCGCGUGCGGGAUGACGGCCUUCGGGUUGUAAACCGCUUUCGCCUGUGACGAAGCGUGAGUGACGGUAAUGGGUAAAGAAGCACCGGCUAACUACGUG